rnacentral:misc_RNA from 1 species
AAGUAAAAGUCGUAACAAGGUUUCCGUAGGUGAACCUGCGGAAGGAUCAUUACCGAGCCCGCGGCCCUUUGAGGCCAGCGACUCCCGUCCUUUGCUUUCAGGAGACCACGCUUCGCUUCGGCGGGGGAACCCGCCGGCGGACCUUUUAAACCGUCUUUUUCGAACCGUGCCGUCGGAGGUGGCUUUGAGAAUAGACCAAAACUUUCAACAACGGAUCUCUUGGUUCUGGCAACGAUGAAGAACGCAGCGAAAUGCGAUAAGUAAUGUGAAUUGCAGAAUUCAGUGAAUCAUCGAAUCUUUGAACGCAUAUUGCGCCCCUCGGCAUUCCGUGGGGCACACCUGUUCGAGCGCCAUUUCGACCCUCAAGCCCCGCUUGGUGUUGGCGACGGUCCGAUGGGACCCCCGCCGAAACUCGUAGGCGCCCCCGCCGGGCCUCCAGCGCAGCAAGCUAACGCGAGCGCGUGGAGCCCGCCGGGUGUUGCCCGCACGCACCUUCAAGGUUUGGCCUCGGAUCAGGUGGGGAUACCCGCUGAACUUAAGCAUAUCAAUAAGCGGAGGAAAAGAAACCAACGGGGAUUGCCUCAGUAACGGCGAGUGAAGCGGCACCAGCUCAGAUUUGAAAUCUGGCCCCAGGCCCGAGUUGUAAUCUGCAGAGGAUGCUCCGGCGAAGGCCCCGGCCCAAGUCCCCUGGAACGGGACGUCCUAGAGGGUGAGAACCCCGUCAGGCCGCGGGCCCCAGCCUUGUGUUGCUCCUUCGACGAGUCGAGUUGUUUGGGAAUGCAGCUCUAAACGGGUGGUAAAUUCCAUCUAAAGCUAAAUACCGGCCAGAGACCGAUAGCGCACAAGUAGAGUGAUCGAAAGAUGAAAAGCACUUUGAAAAGAGAGUCAAACAGCACGUGAAAUUGUUGAAAGGGAAGCGCUUGCGGCCAGACCCGCCCGUGGUUGCUCGACCGGCCUUCGGCCGGCUCACUCUCCCACGGUAGGGCCAGCAUCGGUUGGGGCGGCCGGAUAAAGGCCCGGGGAACGUGGCCCUUCGGGGCGUUAUAGCCCCGGGUGCAAUGCGGCCAGCCCCGACCGAGGGAAGCGUUCGCUAGGAUGCUGGCGUAAUGGCCUCAAGCGGCCCGUCUUGAAACACGGACCAAGGAGUCUACCUCUUCCGCGAGCGUUUGGGUGUCAAACCCGCACGCGAAAUGAAAGUGAACGGAGGUGGGAGCUUCGGCGCACCAUCGACCGAUCCCGAUGUUUUCGGAAGGAUUUGAGUAAGAGUGGAACGGGUGGGACCCGAAAGACGGUGAACUAUGCGUGAAUAGGGUGAAGCCAGAGGAAACUCUGGUGGAGGCUCGCAGCGGUUCUGACGUGCAAAUCGACUCGUCAAAUUUGCGUAUGGGGCGAAAUGACAUACGACGCGCACAUUUAA